rnacentral:rRNA from 1 species
AACGAANGAGACCUUANCCUGCUAAAUAGCCNGGCCNGCUUUGGCGAGUCNCCGGCUUCUUNGAUGGACUAUCGGCUCNAGCCGAUGGNAGUUUGAGNCAAUAACNGGUCUGUGAUGCCCUUAGNUGUUNUGGGCCGCACGCGCGCUACNNUGACAGAGCCAACGAGUUCNUUUCCUUGUCCGAAAGGUCUGGGUAAUCUUNUUAAACUCUGUCGUGCUGGGGAUAGANCAUUGCAAUUAUUGCUNUUCAACGAGGAAUGCCUAGUAAGCGCAUGUCAUCAGCAUGCGUUGAUUACGUCCCUGCCCUUUGNACACACCGCCCGUCGCUACUACCGAUUGAAUGGCUCGGUGAGGCCUUCGGACUGGCCCAGGGAGGUCGGCAACGACCACCCAGGGCCGGAAAGUUGGUCAAACCCGGUCAUUUAGAGGAAGUAAAAGUCGUAACAAGGU